CCAUUCAGCCCUUCCUCCUCCACGGCCGGCCACCCUCCCGAUCUGGAGGUCUCCGACCAAAUCAUUCCCCUCCCCACCACGGCAUGCGGCAUGGAGUCCCGGGAUCGCUCGCCGUCAACCAAUGCUAUGCGGAUCUGGCGAGUCCUAACUCACCAAGAUCCCAUGACGGACAAGGUUUGUUGCGCCUCCUCCUGAAGCUGUCGAGGACCAUGAACGCCACUUCCUCUCACCGGCUCAGCACCAACACUUUCACUACCCGCAGGUGUACAAAAUUGCUUGUUCCCGGAUGGAUAUAGUAGCACAUGGAUCCAUCACCUUUGGUCUUGUCUGGUGUUCUCCCGUGCGUGACGAAUUUCGAAGGAUGAAACAGAGGCUGGGCGACAGGGAGAUUACACUGGAAGUGUGUUGCCUUGUGCCAGAUCCGCCACGAAGUGAGCUGGCCCUCUCCUCCUCUCAUGCCGACAUCGGCAUAUUGCCCUGCUUCUUCCACGGCUUGAUGAACCUACCUUCGCCAGCUUGAUUGAUUUUAAUCGAGAGAAAACUAGUUCGAUUGAGUUUUAUCUUAAAAAGGCUAGUCAUCGCCUGAUGGCCAUUGUAUAGAUAAAAUAUGCUGCAGUUUAUUCUUCCUGUACUACUGCAAUAAGGCAACGUUUCAUCACUAUUCAGUUC